ensembl:snRNA U4 U4 spliceosomal RNA
CGCUUUGCGCAGUGGCAGUAUUGCAGCCAAUGAGGUUUAUCAAAGGUGCAAUUAUUGCUAAUUGAAAAUUUUUCCCAGUACCCCACCAUGACGACUUGAAAUAUAGACGGCAUCAGCAAUGUUUGAGUCUCUACGAGA